GGGGGCGUCACGGUCUCGACGGGUUGUGCCCUGGCGAAGGAAGCAAGCGGAGUUCCGAGCUCUCCUUAAACGAUCGGAAACCGUAUACACGCGAACAGCGAAUACGCACUAGCUGCCUAAUCUAGGUUAGCUACGGCCGCGGGGCAACGGCGCCGGCACGGGCCCGCGGCUGUCAAACAAGACGGCUUACGAUUUCGGGCGCCGCGACGGAAUCGGACAAUGAAUCGGGGCUGGCGGCCGCGGUAAUCUCGCUCGGGAGAGUACGCGGCAGCGAGAAUAAAGCCCGAGAUAAGCUUGUAGAUGCCUUCGUGGGGGUCUUCUCGGACAUCGGUUCAACUCCGAUCGCCUCCACCA
rnacentral:tmRNA from 1 species